GACAGAGGGUGCAAACGUUGUUCGGAAUUACUGGGCGUAAAGCGAGUGUAGGCGGUUUCCUAAGUCAGGUGUGAAAGCCCCGGGCUCAACCCGGGAAGUGCACUUGAAACUGGGAGGCUAGAGUAUCGGAGAGGUUGGUGGAAUUCUCGGUGUAGAGGUGAAAUUCGUAGAUAUCGAGAGGAACACCGGUGGCGAAGGCGGCCAACUGGACGAAUACUGACGCUGAGACGCGAAAGCGUGGGGAGCAAACAGG
rnacentral:rRNA from 1 species